CACGUAGGAGGCAAGCGUUAUCCGGAUUUAUUGGGCGUAAAGCGCGUGCAGGCGGUUCAGAAAGUUGGAUGUGAAAGCUCCUGGCUUAACUGGGAGAGGUCGUUCAAGACUUCUGGACUCGAGUAUGGGGAGAGGGAGGUGGAAUUCCGGGUGUAGUGGUGAAAUGCGUAGGUAUCCGGAGGAACACCAGUGGCGAAAGCGGCCUCCUGGCCCAAAACUGACGCUCAGACGCGAAAGCUAGGGGAGCAAACGGG
rnacentral:rRNA from 1 species